CUCGGUGCCCUGGAGGACCUGGCCGGCUCCGCGGGAAGCUGUACUCAGAGCGCGCGGCCGCCCUCUGGCAGGGAGGAGUUCGUUGCACUUUUGAGGGUUCUUCACGAAGACAUCCAAUACAUAGAAAACAAGUAACAGCAACAGUAACGAAUUUUUAAAUAUUAAAAUUGCUGGGGAACACGACGGAUCCUGCAGCUGCUCGGCUGUCCCGGUCGUCAGUGACGCUAGGGCUCCGCACCGUACCCUGCAUACCGUAGGUGCUCACGAAACGUUCGUGAGUUCCCUGCUCUGAGGAAACAAGCUUAAAAACUCAGAAUCUAAGGUGUGAGUCUCCGCAAACCUGCUUGUUGGGCAGCGUCCCCCGCCCGGGCUAGCCCUGCACGCCCCACCCCGGAGCCACGCUUCUCCAGCCGGGACCCCUGCCUCCUUCCAGGCUAUUCUCGGAACCGCAGCCAGAGGGAAUUUUUUUUUCCUUUCCUGAAACGUAGAGCAGAUCUGGUUACUCUUCUGCACAACGCCCUAAAAUCUAGGGCCCUUCCCAUCCCUCAGAAUUUACAUCUAAUUCUCAGCUCCCCUCCGGCUUGCUGUAGCCAUCCUGGCUUUUGUUUAGCACAGCACUUACUGUUAGUGACAUUAUAUUGUAUAUUAUUAACAUAUUUGUGUUUUACAUCCCUCACUAGACCCCCAGGAAAGAGGCUUUGAUGUGUUGCCUGCUGCAAGGCUGGCUGCAUAAUUUGUGGAGCUCAGAGAAAAGUGCGGAGCUUCCUUGUUCAAAAAACAGAAAGAAAGUGCCUCUGAGGUCAUAAAAUAUAAAACUUUCUCUUUCCUCUCAGUUUCUCUCUUUUCAUAGUGUUUUUAUGUGUUAUUUAAUAUCAUUCCAAGAAAAAUUUAGAUUUAAAUUGUUAGCAUGAAGUUCACCAUCCAUCUUUACGUUGUGCAAUGCCAGUUUUAAAUACUAAUAUAAGUGCACUGAUCUCAUAUGUGGAAUCACAGAAAUUAUGCAAUUUGUACUUCAUAGCUUAUACAUGCAUAUAGAUUUUGUUUUUACCAGAACCACGCUGGUAAAAACAGAUGCUGCACAAAGUGAACUUGCCCGUUUUCAUCGCACUUUACGUGCACGAAUUCUACCUCUACUCUCGACCUGGGACUCACCGAUGCGUAAGGAAGGACUGAAAAGCAAAAGAACUAUGGACUGGCCUUUUGGCAUGAUCAGGUGUCUAAUAUAAAGAAGUGCAUGAAUAAGAAAAUAUAUGAUAUGAGUGAUGGUUAAUACUGACUGUCAACUUGAUUGGAUUGAAGGAUGCAAAGUAUUGAUCCUGGGUGUGUCUGUGAGGGUGUUGCCAAAGGAGAUUAACAUUUGAGUCAGUGGGCUGGGAAAGUUCGACCCACUGUUAAUCUAGAUGGACACCAUCUAAUCAGAUGCCAGUGCAGCUAGAAAUGUAAAGCAGACAGAAAAAUGCGAAAAGAGAGACUGGCCUAGCCUGCCAGCCUACAUCUUUCUCCCACGCUGGAUGCUUCCUGCCCUCGAACAUCAGACUCCAAGUUCUUCAGUUUGGGACUUGGACUGGCUCUCCUUGUUCCUCAGCUUGAAGACUGCCCAUUGUGGGACUUGUGAUCAUGUGGAUUUAGAGUUUCCUACGGCUGUUGCUUCACAUGUCAUCUGGAGAAGGCCCCCUGUGCAGUCUUUGCAACUUUCCACAGAUAAAGGUGAAAAUAAUGCAAGAGGAAAACAGAUGACGGCCUUUCCCUAAGGCAGAAACUGGGAAGAAGGGAAGCCUGAGAGGAGCAAAAGGACCUGAUGCCAUGAGUGGCCUCAGUGUGAAAUGCGGAGGGCCUCAGUUUGUGUCCCAGCACAGAGACUCUCUACACAAGGUUUUGUUCUUGUUUGUGUUUUUAACUUUUCUCCCAUCCCCUGACGGAGACACCUGUGCCUGAGCUCCAGGGGAACUCGGCAGCGCCCAUGCUCCAUUCCUUGGAUGCUUCUGUGAGUUGAGCAGAAAGACUUUCUUCUCAUUUCUAUCAAUCACCUUUCUUUGCUCUCAGCCCACUCACUUCCCCAUCUUCUACACCUCACGGAAGCAGGAAGGAGGGGCUGCCGAGGACCCCAGGAAUGCGGCCCCAGGAGUCACCAUGCAGAUGAAGAAGGGAGGCGCCCUCAUAUUCGGGCAGCCUGGGAACUGGGAUGUGUUCCAUGCAGUGACAGCUCCCAGCGCUCUGAAGCCAUGACAGCGGAGGAGGCAAGGCAAGACCCCUCCUGCAGAACAGCCACCUGCAGGGGAGAUCUGGCGAGGAGUAAGAAUCGGGUAGAUUUACGCCAGGUCCCCUAAGAGCGGUGCAAAGAAAUGGAUCAAAUAGGCAAGCAUUUCAUCAGGGAAAAUGCCUAAGAGAAAUGCGGGGGGAAGCUGGGUGCAACUGGAAUAGCCUUCAGACUGUGGUGUGAGUCUGACCCCAGUGAAGGAAAGAGGAGGGAUGGCUGCGAGGAGGUGGCCCCAGGAAAGUUCUGCAAAGCCACCGGGCAUCCUCAACCCUGAACCAGAGGACUCAGCCCAACCUCUCCCCAGAGUGGACCUGCACUGCCUUGCUCAGACACUGGCUGGGAGCAGCCUGUGAGAAAUGUGGCUGCAUGCAAAUAUUUAACCGUCAACAAGCCACAGCUGAGGAAACAUGGCCACACAACCGUAUUAGUCCAUUCUCGCACUGUUACAAAAAAUACCUGAGACUGGGUAAUGUAUGAAGGAAAGAGGUUGAAUUGGCUCACAGUUCCACAGGCUGUACAGGAAGCGUGGCAACAUCUACUUCUGGGGUGACCUGUGGGAGUUUUUACUCAUGGUGGGGGCAAUGAGGGAGCAGGCAUUUCACCUGGCAGGAGCAGGAGGAAGAGAGAGGGGGGAGGUACCACACUUUUUUUUUUUUUUGAAAAGAAGACUUGCUCUUUCGCCCAGGCUGGAGUGCAGUGGCAUGAUCUCACCUCACUGCAACCAUUGCCUUCUGGAUUCAAGCGAUUCUCCUGCCUCAGCCUUCCGAGUAGCUGGGAUUACAGGCACGUGCCACUAAGCCCGGCUAAUUCUUUUAUUUUUAAUAGAGAUGGGGUUUCAUCAUGUUGGCUAGGCUGGUUUCAAACUCCUGACCACAAGUGAUCCACCCACCUCGGCCUCCCAAAGUGUUGGGAUUACAGGUGUGAGCCACUGCUCCCAGCCUGCACACUUUUAUACAACCAGAUCUUGUGAAAACUCUUGUCACUAUACAGUACCAAGGGGAGAUGGUGGUAAACCAUUCAUGAGAACUCUGCCUCCAUGAUCCAGUCAUCUCCCCCAGGUCCUCCCUGACACUGGGGAUUACAAUUCAACAUGAGAUUUGGGAAGGGACACGAGGCAAAUCAUAUCAACAACCAUUUGGAAAGUCAUAUGCAAUGGGAGAGAGAAAUCAUGGGAAAUAAUAUAAAAUGAAUUCUUUUCAGCAACGAAAUCUGCUGACAUCAAGAUAAAUACAUAUAUACAUGCAUAUAUACACACACGCAUAUAUUUAAUAUGAAGUCUGCUUCAAACUCAAACAAUAGAGAGAUGGAUUUAUGCAUAUCUGAAAAUGAGCACUAUACCUCUAUUAAAUAGGUAAUAUUGAAAAAUACCCGAUGGCAUAGAAUAAUGUUCUGAAAUGAAA
rnacentral:lncRNA from 1 species